rnacentral:lncRNA from 1 species
AAAUUUAUGUUAGGUCUUGUGAGCAGCUUAAGUGACUUGCUGGCACCUCCCUUAGGAUGCUUUUAGAUGGUGGCAUGCUUGGUCUGCGUCUCCCUUAGGACGCUUCAUUGUAGUUGUCAUGCAUCUCCCUAUGAGGUUUUUUUACAGUGACCUAUUUGGCCUACGUCUCUCUUAGGACGCUUUAUUGUAGUUGUCAUGCGUCUCAAUUAGGACGCUUUAGGGAUAGUGACCUGCUUGGCCUGCAUCUCCCUUAGGAUGCUUCAUUGUAGUUGUCAUGCAUCUCCCUUAGGACACUUUUGGACAGUGACCUGUUU